rnacentral:rRNA from 1 species
UUAAGUGACUAAGCGUACACGGUGGAUGCCUAGGCAGUCAGAGGCGAUGAAGGGCGUGUUAAUCUGCGAUAAGCGUCGGUAAGGUGAUAUAAACCGUUACAACCGGCGAUACCCGAAUGGGGAAACCCAGUGCAAUUCGUUGCACUAUCAUACGAUGAAUACAUAGUCGUAUGAGGCGAACCGGGGGAACUGAAACAUCUAAGUACCCCGAGGAAAAGAAAUCAACCGAGAUUCCCCCAGUAGCGGCGAGCGAACGGGGAGGAGCCCAGAACCUGAAUCAGUUCUUGUGUUAGUGGAAGCGUCUGGAAAGUCGCACAGUAAAGGGUGAUAGUCCCGUACACUAAAAUGCAUUAAUUGUGAGUUCGAUGAGUAGGGCGGGACACGUGACAUCCUGUCUGAAUAUGGGGGGACCAUCCUCCAAGGCUAAAUACUCCUGACUGACCGAUAGUGAACCAGUACCGUGAGGGAAAGGCGAAAAGAACCCCGGCGAGGGGAGUGAAAUAGAACCUGAAACCGUGUACGUACAAGCAGUGGGAGCCUACUUUGUUGGGUGACUGCGUACCUUUUGUAUAAUGGGUCAGCGACUUAUAUUUUGUAGCAAGGUUAACCGUAUAGGGGAGCCGUAGGGAAACCGAGUCUUAACUGGGCGAAUAGUUGCAAGGUAUAGACCCGAAACCCGGUGAUCUAGCCAUGGGCAGGUUGAAGGUUGGGUAACACUAACUGGAGGACCGAACCGACUAAUGUUGAAAAAUUAGCGGAUGACUUGUGGCUGGGGGUGAAAGGCCAAUCAAACCGGGAGAUAGCUGGUUCUCCCCGAAAGCUAUUUAGGUAGCGCCUCGUGAACUCAUCUUCGGGGGUAGAGCACUGUUUCGGCUAGGGGGCCAUCCCGGCUUACCAAACCGAUGCAAACUCCGAAUACCGAAGAAUGUUAUCACGGGAGACACACGGCGGGUGCUAACGUCCGUCGUGAAGAGGGAAACAACCCAGACCGCCAGCUAAGGUCCCAAAGUCAUGGUUAAGUGGGAAACGAUGUGGGAAGGCAUAGACAGCCAGGAUGUUGGCUUAGAAGCAGCCAUCAUUUAAAGAAAGCGUAAUAGCUCACUGGUCGAGUCGGCCUGCGCGGAAGAUGUAACGGGGCUAAACCAUGCACCGAAGCUGCGGCAGCGACGCUUAGGCGUUGUUGGGUAGGGGAGCGUUCUGUAAGCCGUUGAAGGUGGCCUGUGAGGGUUGCUGGAGGUAUCAGAAGUGCGAAUGCUGACAUAAGUAACGAUAAAGCGGGUGAAAAACCCGCUCGCCGGAAGACCAAGGGUUCCUGUCCAACGUUAAUCGGGGCAGGGUGAGUCGACCCCUAAGGCGAGGCCGAAAGGCGUAGUCGAUGGGAAACAGGUUAAUAUUCCUGUACUCGGUGUUACUGCGAAGGGGGGACGGAGAAGGCUAGGCUAGCCGGGCGACGGUUGUCCCGGUUUAAGCGUGUAGGGGGAGUGACUUGGUAAAUCCGGUUACUUAUCUAACCCUGAGGCGUGAUGACGAUGCACUACGGUGCAGAAGUAGUUGAUGCCAAGCUUCCAGGAAAAGCCUCUAAGCAUCAGGUAACAUCAAAUCGUACCCCAAACCGACACAGGUGGUCAGGUAGAGAAUACCAAGGCGCUUGAGAGAACUCGGGUGAAGGAACUAGGCAAAAUGGUGCCGUAACUUCGGGAGAAGGCACGCUGGCGCGUAGGUGAAGAGACUUGCUCUCGGAGCUGAAGCCAGUCGCAGAUACCAGCUGGCUGCAACUGUUUAAUAAAAACACAGCACUGUGCAAACACGAAAGUGGACGUAUACGGUGUGACGCCUGCCCGGUGCUGGAAGGUUAAUUGAUGGGGUCAGCCGCAAGGCGAAGCUCUUGAUCGAAGCCCCAGUAAACGGCGGCCGUAACUAUAACGGUCCUAAGGUAGCGAAAUUCCUUGUCGGGUAAGUUCCGACCUGCACGAAUGGCGUAAUGAUGGCCAGGCUGUCUCCACCCGAGACUCAGUGAAAUUGAACUCGCUGUGAAGAUGCAGUGUACCCGCGGCAAGACGGAAAGACCCCGUGAACCUUUACUAUAGCUUGACACUGAACAUUGAGCCUUGAUGUGUAGGAUAGGUGGGAGGCUUUGAAGCGUGGACGCCAGUCUGCGUGGAGCCAACCUUGAAAUACCACCCUUUAAUGUUUGAUGUUCUAACUCGGCCCCGUAAUCCGGGGUGAGGACAGUGUCUGGUGGGUAGUUUGACUGGGGCGGUCUCCUCCCAAAGAGUAACGGAGGAGCACGAAGGUUAGCUAAUCACGGUCGGACAUCGUGAGGUUAGUGCAAAGGCAUAAGCUAGCUUGACUGCGAGAGUGACGGCUCGAGCAGGUACGAAAGUAGGUCUUAGUGAUCCGGUGGUUCUGAAUGGAAGGGCCAUCGCUCAACGGAUAAAAGGUACUCCGGGGAUAACAGGCUGAUACCGCCCAAGAGUUCAUAUCGACGGCGGUGUUUGGCACCUCGAUGUCGGCUCAUCACAUCCUGGGGCUGAAGUAGGUCCCAAGGGUAUGGCUGUUCGCCAUUUAAAGUGGUACGCGAGCUGGGUUUAGAACGUCGUGAGACAGUUCGGUCCCUAUCUGCCGUGGGCGUUGGAAGAUUGAGAGGGGUUGCUCCUAGUACGAGAGGACCGGAGUGAACGCACCACUGGUGUUCGGGUUGUCAUGCCAAUGGCAUUGCCCGGUAGCUAAGUGCGGAAAAGAUAAGCGCUGAAAGCAUCUAAGCGCGAAACUUGCCUCGAGAUGAGUCUUCCCUG